GUGCAAUGAUGAUUUGAUGAUCAGAAUCUUUUUGUUGAUUUUAGUCGAGCUUUUUAAAACUGAGCGCU